GACGAACGCUGGCGGCGUGCUUAACACAUGCAAGUCGAACGAUGACGCCCAGCUUGCUGGGUGGAUUAGUGGCGAACGGGUGAGUAACACGUGGGCAACCUGCCCCAAACUCUGGGAUAACUCCUCGCAAGAGGUGCUAAUACCGGAUACGAACUAGGUAGACAUCUGCACAAGUUGGAAAGUUGUUCGGUUUGGGAUGGGCCCGCGGCCUAUCAGCUUGUUGGUGACUUAACGGCUCACCAAGGCUACGACGGGUAACCGGCCUGAGAGGGCAACAGGUCAGAGUGGGCCUGGGGACCGGACCAGGCGCCUACGGGAGGCAGCAGGAGGAAAAAUUGCGCAGUGGGGGAAAGGCGGACGAGAAGACGCCGCGUGAGGAAUGAAGGUCUUCGGAUAGUAAACCUCUUUCAGUGGGGACGAAGCGAAAGUGACGGUACCUAAAGAAGAAGCACCGGCUAACUACGUGCCAGCAGCCGCCGUAA
rnacentral:rRNA from 1 species